UGUCAUGGUUUGAUUGACAGUUUACACAAAUGCCCGCGAAAUUCGUCCACAAAGGGACGAGCUCAAAGGUAACAAAAUCAAAGUUUGGGGCAGGCAGUCAGACCCCCUCCACUCCUCUGCUGAAGAAAGACUUUUCUACUGGUUCAUUUACCCAAGAAGACGUUGCUGUUGAAGCAAAAGGAAGAGUGCAUGCUUGAUGGAAGAGUGCUGCUCAUUGCAUUUCACCACCGCUGGUCCUCAUCCGCAGUGCACCACCACUCCCGAUCCAGUCCCCAAAAUGGUGGC